GUUUAUGGCAAUACCACCCUGAACGUGCCAGAUCUUGUUUGAUCUCAGAAGCUUAGGGUUGGUACUUGGAUAGGAUUCUGCCUGGCAAUACUGGGCGCAGUAGUAACUGUAACAC
rnacentral:rRNA from 1 species